UGACAAUUACGUGGUGACAUUAUUUGAGUGGCAACGAUAGAAUAUACUAGAUUGAACAUGGAAUUAUUUAGUAACAAUUUCUGGUAACACUACGUUUGGAAAAGCUUUUUUAUCAUCAUGGCAGACACGGAGCCCUCGCGCAGCUGCCCCGCUUGUCUCGUCCAGGAUCUGCGCCGGAUUGGAGCAUCGUCUGUGCUUGCAUUGUUGAAUGAACAAUGCAAGCAUAUUGCACUUGCCCGUAGGUGAUAGUGUGAGGCAGCAAGUCAUCUGGCUGCGUGUAGUGGCGUGUGUGGUGACAUCGUGAUGUGUGAGGCAGUGAAUCUUCUGCCCCCAGGUAAGUUGCUGCAUGUGGUGGUGCUUGUGGUGAUAUUGUGAGUACGUCAUUUGCAUCUUGUGUGUAGGCUGUAUUCGCUAACGUUGUCGUUCUUUUCUUCUAGGUCGCCGUAUCUGAGAGUGAGCAAGCGUGCUGCACUUGCCCGUUGGUGGAUUUGUGAGGGCAGCAAGUCAUCUGCCCCCAGGUUAGUUGCUGCGUGGAGUGGUGCGUGCGGUGAGCAUCGUCGCCGUCUGUGUUGGUGAGCUGGGCACUGUACCACAAGUGCUUCGUGGGACAGUGUAGAUGCGUCAGUUUUGUUUGUGAGUGAAUCGCGGAAUCAAUUGCCGAUGGCCUUUUUUGUUGUCAAGCGAGAAGUGUGUUGCUCCAUCUAUAGCCAAAAUGUAACAGGACAAUCGGAGAUGACUGGAGAGAUGCUUCUUUGGAUGGCUGGAGUAUUGGGUGCUAAUAACCGCGCAUACGAGAGUGGCAGUGCCACAUUUUCUGUGCGAUUAUGGAUUGAUUGCAGCAUACGUCUUGGAUUCUGACACUUU